AGCUUUGCGCAGUAGCAGUAUCCUAGCCAAUGAGGUUUAUCCGAGGCACGAUUAUUGCUAAAAGUACUAUAAAUUUUCCUUGGGCAUGUGGAUAUAAACAUGAACUCUGCUAAAUUCAGAAGAAA
rnacentral:snRNA from 1 species